GACUUUUGUCAAGCUUCCAAACCAUGUUUAUUUUCUACUAACUAUGGUUCAUCGAAACGAAUUUUGAUUCUAUCAUCUAUGUUUUUUUCUCUGUAGUUUCAAAUGCACUGCAUCAGCUGCACCUCUUUUUGGACUUUUAAUAUGCAAAUGAAAUAAUGCCAGUCAGAGUUGGAAAUAUAAGACAUAUAAGAGAAGGGUAGCUCCACUGAGCUCAAUGGCUAGGUGUGUCAAAUAUGUAUCUAAAAUAUUCAUGCCCGUCUUAUUAAAUAUGGUGAAAACGUAAUAAAUGUCUCUACUAGUAGAUAACAAUUAACAAUGUAAUUCAGUUUGCAGUUCAGGAUACCUGCUUACGGCCGGCGACACUAAUUGCAUGGUAAUUCGUUAUAAUUAAUUAUAAAUAAAUAAAUAUAACUAUAAAUGUCAUAAAUAAAUAUAAAUUAAUUAAUAAUAAUAUAUAUAAUUUAGGAACAUACCUAAUUUUAGUGUGCAGUGACAACCAAUUUGUGCAGUGAUAAAAGUAAAAUGUGCAGUGAUAAAAUGUAAAAUGUGCAGUGAUAAAAUUUGCUUUGAUAAGUUGUUAAUUAACACAAGAGAAUGAUUUAAUUGAAAUUGAAAUGAUGACUGCCAAAUUAUCGAUUUAAAUAAUAGUAUAUGUUUUUUGUACGAAAAUCAUGAGAUUCAGGCAAUUUUUAGUUAAUAUCUGGCUUUUGGUAUGUCCGGAAAAAAUUUUUGACCCUUAAAAUGGUACACUGACCAAAAUUUUUUUGGCGACGGGGGGGGGGGAAGGUCGCCAAAAAUUUCCGAAUAUUCGGAAAUUUUCUUAGUCAUUCGGAAAUUUUUGGCAUAAAAUGUGCAGU